rnacentral:rRNA from 1 species
CAGCCGCCGCGGGAAUACGUAGGGUGCAAGCGUUAAUCGGAAUUACUGGGCGUAAAGCGUGCGCAGGCGGUUAUAUAAGACAGAUGUGAAAUCCCCGGGCUCAACCUGGGAACUGCAUUUGUGACUGUAUAGCUAGAGUACGGCAGAAGGGGAUGGAAUUCCGCGUGUAGCAGUGAAAUGCGUAGAUAUGCGGAGGAAUACCGAUGGCGAAGGCAGCCCCCUGGGCCAAUACUGACGCUCAUGCACGAAAGCGUGGGGAGCAAACAGGAUUAGAUACCCCAGUAGUCCCUGUCUCUUAUCC